CUUCGGAACUGCUACACAAAUGUCAUAUUUCCACAGUAACAUCAGUAUUCAAGAGCUACUUCAAGUGUUUUUAACAUAAAAGUUCACAAGCAAGGAAAAAACAAAAACCACAUAUUAGCUUUUCCAUGGCAACAUGCGCAUUUACGAACAACAUUCUAAUCCCACAUAGAUACAGAAAACAUGAAUCUUGGCAACUGCAGAAGCUGGCAAAGAGAAAUAUUCACGAGGUGAUUGUUA